AUGCCAGACAAGCCUCCCCCUGCAAGCGCCCCUCACGGACAGUGCCCUGUCUCUGCCAACACUGAGAAAAGCAGGGCGCCCCAAAUCCGGUGGAGAAAACAGAGAGCUCUGAAAGUUCUCUGUGUUCCAGAAGUUCGAUCAACUACGGGAAAACUAGAAAACGGGAAUUGGCAGUUUUUCAUAGCUUUCAUUUUGGAACAUUUCGACCUGUCGGAAGAGUGGGAGGAAGGGUCCGAUGAGCGGCCAAGUGCCCUUCAGCUGCAUCCAGCGCCCGUCCACUGCCCCGCCUGCGCGCCGCCCGCCAGCCGCCCGCCACCCGUCGCUCGUCUCCCCCAUCUCCGCCAGGGACCCGUGCUCCGUCCUCCUGUGUGCGCUCACGUGCGUCUGUCCAUCACCUGUCAGCGCCACUGCCUGCUCCCCGAACCACGUGAGAACAAGCUUUGGCAUCCUGACCCUUCACCUGCAGCAGUACCACGGCCUCCAAGGACAACAGAGUCCGCCCACGUCACUGUGACGCCGCCACCACACCCAGGAGUCUUACCUGGGCGGUGA
rnacentral:lncRNA from 1 species